GACGAACGCUGGCGGCGUGCUUAACACAUGCAAGUCGAACGCUGAAGCUCAGCUUUUGUUGGGUGGAUGAGUGGCGAACGGGUGAGUAACACGUGAGCAACCUGCCUCCUUCUUUGGGAUAACGCCCGGAAACGGGUGCUAAUACUGGAGAUUCACUGGUCUUCGCAUGGGGGUUGGUGGAAAGGGUUUUUCUGGUGGGGGAUGGGCUCGCGGCCUAUCGGCUUGUUGGUGGGGUGAUGGCCGACCAAGGCUUUGACGGGUAGCCGGCCUGAGAGGGUGACCGGUCACUUAGAGACGGCGCUGCCGCCCAGGGUCCUCCGCGAGGCGGAAGUUGGGACUAUUGCGCAAAGCGCGCGCGACUGAUGCCGCGACGCGGCAGGAGGGCUUGAGGCCUUAGAGUUGUGAACCUCUUUCGCUCAUGGUCAAGCCGCAACAAUCGUUGUGAUGAGGGUAGUGGAUGAAGAAGCGCCGGCUAACUACGUG
rnacentral:rRNA from 1 species